GAACUCCUUGCGGUCAGAAACUUCGUGUAUCUCUUUUUCCAGAACCUACCACAGUGCCUGACAGGAAUUUAUUUUUUGGCAUGUGUUGCUAUGCUAGCUUUUCCCUCUUCUAUUUUAAGCAGGCUGACUCUUUGAGCUGACAGGACUUUCCCCUUUCUCUGAGAUGACAAUCAGGCCGCUUUGCUUCGCACUGCCCUCAGAGAAGCAGUGUGCCCAGAAGUCAAGUGUGAGCUCUUGAGUCAAAAUGCUUGGAUUUGAAUUCCAACUCUGCUGCUUACCAGCUGUGUGACAUGGGGUGAGUGAGUUACCUGACCUCUCUGUACCUCUAUGUCAUCAUCUUUAAAAUGGAGAGCCUGAAGAAGCCGGUUGCCAAGGUGACAGGAGCAGGAACAGCAGGGAGCUUGCCAUGGGGGAGGGGCUUUGCCCCCAAACAGCUGUCAGUGGGAGCAGUCCCAGCUGGGACUGGAGGGUCUGCCUGCUCUGGGAGGAAACAGCCCCCAGGAGAACACAUUCCUCACUGCCAUACCCCCUCCUACUGGCCCACUGCAAGUCUCCACUGGUUACUUUCCCUGGGGGCAGCCAGCCAGCCAGCUCAAAAAAUGCUCCAAUAACAAACAAAAAAUGUGUGUGCGCUCGCUUGCUUUCUCUCUCCCAGACACACACACACAUACACACACACACGCACACACACUCAAGCACGCUCUUCUCUCCUGCUCUCAGAUCCCUUGGUUCAUUGACAGUGGGUUGGCUGGGCAGGAGGCCAGAAGUCACCUCUGCCCAGGGAACUGUGUAGCCCAAGACAGGUGCUGCUCCUGGCUGCCCUGCACUAGGUCCUAAGAAUGAUUUCAGUCUUUUUUGUCCAGAGGCCCUGAGAGGACCUUCCCCUACUAAAACUUCCCAGCUGCCUUCCAUCUGGGAGGUGGGAGUGGGGCAGUGCAAUCUCUGGGCUUACAGAGAGGAAGGGGUGGGAGAGAGGAAGAAUGAACAGGAUGGUGGGAGGCAGGAACAAUGCAGGCCCACUGCUUUGUGUCUCUGGGGAGAGGUUCUUUGUGGGACUGCAGCUCACAGCUGCUCCAUAGAAAGUUCUGUGGAGCCACUGGUCUCUGUACUGCAUUCUAGCCAGGCACUGUUAGCCUUAGGCCCUCGGGCCUCAAGCCUGUUACCUGCUGGUGUUUACCUUUACACGGGGUCUCCACCAGACUCUGCAAACCCUGAAUAGGCUUAGAUCCCUGAGAUGCUUUCAGCUUUGGGUCAGAAACAGGAAAGGCUGAGGAGGCCCCAGAUUACUAUAAGAACUGAGAGGGACAACCUGGUUUGAGAUGAAGAACAGUGUUUGACUCAGCCAGCUAUGGCCCCCAGUCCUGCCACUUACUACUUAGGUGACUUUGAGUGCGUGACGGAUGUGGUAAGCUCCUGGAGAACCUCUCUGAGCUUCAGUUUGCUCAUCUGUAAAAUGGAUAAAGACACCUACCAGACAGGGAUCUUUCCAGGGUUUAAAAAAGCGUGAUGCGUACAAUGCAGGGCACGCUAUCUAGCACACGACGGACGUCCUGUGAGUGCUGGUCCCGUUUCUGUCCAGUUUUCUUGAGAACUGAGUUGCCUAGCAGCCUUAGGAGGAACCCAAGAACUAGUCUUUCUUUUGAACAGUGUUAGAACUUGGGGGGCUGGCUUAGAUUUAGACAGAGGUUACAUUUCGGCCUGGGCUGGAAGGGGGUUCUCAGGAAGGCCUGAGACGCAGAUGGUCCUCCAGGGCAUGCAGAUUGAAUGAGAAACUAGAAGUGCUCAUCUGGGGUCUCAGCUGUAGUCCAAGCUGCUUUCAACGCAUUGAAAGAGCCCCCAGUCUACCCUUCUGAGCCUCACUUUCUUUUUCCAUAAAAGGAAGAGGCUGGGCCACUUUUUGGAGAAAGCCAUGCCAGACAGUGAGAAACAUCUGAAGCCACAGGGCUGUGAGGCCUCCGUGGGGAGGCGCCUUUCUUGGCUCAGCGGUGACCGCUGGAAUGCAGCGACUGAUCCUUUGCCCCUGGGUGACUUCUGAAGCCUCAAGAAGGUGAAUGAGGGAUUUUGACCCCGUUUCCUCCUAACUCAGUGCCAUGUGCGCUGCUUUGCUUUUCUCUGCCUGGGAACCUUCCCCACUCUGUCUGGCAGGUCACAUGCUCGUGCCGCAAGGCUCAUGUGCCAUGUCCUCUGAAGGACGGCAUCUCUGACCCAUUCUGCCUGACAGGCAGCUGACCAUCUGUGCCCACACUGUACCUGGUACUUAGUCCUAAAAUAGAAUUUAUGAAGUGGAAUGGAUUUGCUUCUAUAUCUGGUUCCCUUCUUUUGACUGCACACUCCUUUAGGGAAAAAUAAAAAUCCUAUCCUAUUUUGACAAAGAUGUAUUGAGAUAUAUUCUUGAUGUAUUUUCUCAAGAAAAAACCCCACAGAUUAGAUUGGAUGGUAAAAUGGUUUGAGAGAGGACUGAGGUUAGUGGUUGUCUCAGGGAUGCGAUCAGCGUGACUCUCUCUUUAAUGCAAAGCCAUGUGCUUCGUCACUCUAUUUCUAUGGUAAAACAGCGUGGUCUUGUUCCCUAGAUCGAUAGGCCUGGCUUCUUGGGCUCUUGGCAGAUUUUCCCAUUAAAGAUUGCCUACAAUGGGCAGCACAGGAAGAGUUUUAGUAGGCAGGGAAAGGGGUCUAGCAGGGCAUGUGGAUUCAUCGGACCUGCCUCACAAGCAAGCUCCUAGAUUUAUUCUCAAGUGUUACCCUCACUAGCAAGCCUUUCCUAGCUCCUCUCCUCAAGCCAGAUAGCUCUUCUGUUCUGACAGUGUUCACAGCUUAGAUCUAUUAUGGCAUAUGCACAGCACUCAUCUGUCUCCCCAGCUACACUGUGGAGGGCAGGACCUGAGUCUCAUUUAUCUCUGCACACCUAGAAUUGGCAACAUGAUUGGCAAAUACUAAUCAACAAAUGCUUGCUGAAUGAUGAGAAAAAAUAAACUUCCUACAUUCCCAUCUCUCUGUCUGGUUCUU